CAUGCAAGUCGAACGGGAAGUGGUGUUUCCAGUGGCGAACGGGUGAGUAACGCGUAAGAACCUGCCCUUGGGAGGGGAACAACAACUGGAAACGGUUGCUAAUACCCCGUAGGCUGAGGAGCAAAAGGAGAAAUCCGCCCAAGGAGGGGCUCGCGUCUCAUUAGCUAGUUGGUGAGGCAAUAGCUUACCAAGGCGAUGAUCAGUAGCUGGUCC
rnacentral:ncRNA from 1 species